rnacentral:tRNA from 1 species
UAGGGGUAUAGUUUAAUGGUAGAACUGUGGUCUCCAAAACCACCAGUACGGGUUCAAGUCCUGUUGCCCCUGU